rnacentral:rRNA from 1 species
GUCCUACGGGACGCAGCAGUGGGGAAUAUUGCACAAUGGGGGAAACCCUGAUGCAGCAACGCCGCGUGAGUGAAGAAGUAUUUCGGUAUGUAAAGCUCUAUCAGCAGGGAAGAAAAAAGACGGUACCUGACUAAGAAGCCCCGGCUAACUACGUGCCAGCAGCCGCGGUAAUACGUAGGGGGCAAGCGUUAUCCGGAUUUACUGGGUGUAAAGGGAGCGUAGACGGCAUAGCAAGUCUGAAGUGAAAUGCCGGGGCUCAACCCCGGAACUGCUUUGGAAACUGUGCAGCUAGAGUGCGGGAGAGG